rnacentral:rRNA from 1 species
UAUCUCUGUAGAGUCUGCAUAUCAAUAAGCGGAGGAAAAGAAACUAACAAGGAUUCCCUCAGUAACGGCGAGUGAAGCGGGAAGAGCUCAAAUUUGAAAUCUUCAAGGUUCUACCUUGACGAAUUGUAGUUUAUAGAAGUGUUUUCUGUAGUGGAGUGGCAAAAGUUCUUUGGAAUAGGACAUCAUAGAGGGUGAGAAUCCCGUAUUUUGGUCAUUCCUCCUAGCGUUGUGAUGCACUUUCAACGAGUCGGAUUGUUUGGGAAUGCAGUCCAAAAUGGGUGGUAAAUUUCAUCUAAAGCUAAAUAUUGGCGAGAGACCGAUAGCGAACAGGUACCGUGAGGGAAAGAUGAAAAGAACUUUGAAAAGAGAGUUAAACAGUACGUGAAAUUGUCAAAAGGGAAGCGUUUGACACCAGUGUUGUUUUUCCGAAAAUCAAUUACGAAUGUCUUGUUUUUGAGGAGUUAUGACUUCAUCGGCUUGCUCCUUUCUUUACUGAAACUUUCUUAAUGCACUUUUCGGUUAACAAGUCAACAUCAAUUUCUUUUGUUGUAAAAGGGUAUGAGGAAGGUGGCUUUCUUUCCGGAGAAAGUGUUUAUAGCCUCGUGCCUCUGCAAUCGGAGAGAUUGAGGUCUGCAGCGUAGAUCCUUCGGGGUUAGAUACAUUUGUGCUAAGUUAUAGCCUUGUAUAGACAACUUGUUGACUAUGCUCAGUCAUGUAGCUUACUCGCUGAUGCUAUUUUACCUACGCUUAGGAUGUUGAACGCGCACAGAGUCUC